GGGGAUUUAGCUCAGUGGCAUAAGCACCUGCCUUGCAAGCAGGCAGUUGUGGGUUUGAUCCCCA
rnacentral:tRNA from 1 species